UUUUCCUACGGGAGGCAGCAGUGGGGAAUAUUGCACAAUGGGGGAAACCCUGAUGCGGCGACGCCGCGUGAGUGAAGAAGUAUUUCGGUAUGUAAAGCUCUAUCAGCAGGGAAGAAAAAAGACGGUACCUGACUAAGAAGCCCCGGCUAACUACGUGCCAGCAGCCGCGGUAAUACGUAGGGGGCAAGCGUUAUCCGGAUUUACUGGGUGUAAAGGGAGCGUAGACGGUGCGUCAAGUCUGAAGUGUAAGCACGGGGCUUAACACCGGGGCUGCUUUGGA
rnacentral:rRNA from 1 species